GCAUAUCCAAUAAGCGGAGGAAAAGAAACCAACAGGGAUUGCCUCAGUUAACGGCGUAAGUGAAGCGGCAACAGCUCAAAUUUGAAAUCUGGCGCAAGCCCGAGUUGUAAUUUGUAGAGGAUGUUUCGGGUGAAGCCACGGUCCAAGUCCCUUGGAACAGGACGUCAUAGAGGGUGAGAACCCCGUACCUGGCCGUCGGUGCCCCCCGCUGUGAAACUCCUUCGACGAGUCGAGUUGUUUGGGAAUGCAGCUCUAAAUUGGUGGUAAAUUCCAUCUAAAGCUAAAUACCGGCCAGAGACCGAUAGCGCACAAGUAGAGUGAUCGAAAGAUGAAAAGCACUUUGAAAAGAGAGUUAAAAAGUACGUGAAAUUGUUGAAAGGGAAGCGCUUGCGGCCAGACUUGCCCGCGGUUGCUCAGCCCGCCUUUUGGCGGGUGCACUCUUCCGCGGUCAGGCCAGCAUCGGUUUGGGCGGUCGGAUAAAGGCGUUGGGAACGUGGCCUCCCCUCGGGGAGGUGUUAUAGCCCGGCGCGCAAUGCGACCAGCCCGGACCGAGGUUCGCGCUUUGCUAGGAUGCUGGCGUAAUGGCCGUAAGCGGCCCGUCUUGAAACACGGACCAAGGAGUCUAACAUCUAUGCGAGUGUUUGGGUGUCAAACCCGUGCGCGUAAUGAAAGUGAACGGAGGUGGGAACCGCAAGGUGCACCAUCGACCGAUCCUGAUGUCUUCGGAAGGAUUUGAGUAAGAGCAUAGCUGUUGGGACCCGAAAGAUGGUGAACUAUGCGUGAAUAGGGUGAAGCCAGAGGAAAACUCUGGUGGAGGCUCGCAGCGGUUUCUGACGUGCAAAUCGAUUCGUCAAAUUUGCGUAUAGGGGGCGAAAAGACUAAYCGAACCAUUUAGUAGCUGGUUUCCUGCCGA
rnacentral:rRNA from 1 species